AAUAUGAUUAAGCAGGCCUGAGAAUGCUGUUAUGAAAGAAUGCAAAUAUUUUCCUUUCCAGGGCAUUUGUAUGUCAACAGCUGAUAGGGGGCAGGAGGGGCCCCACAAGGCCACCAAGCACCUCCAGCUGCACAGUAUGUGGCUGCCGUGGAGGAGCCACCGCCGGGAAAAGCAGGCCGGGAGGCCACUGGGGGAGGGAGGACUUUGCAGAGCCUCAGUAGUGCAGCCUGAGAAAUAGGGCUGCCCAGGCUGGGCUCUGGCCGGCCACGCCGCUUUUCCACCUGCGCUCUGCGAGAACCGGCCUGCAGCAGCCUAACUGGCGGCUGAGGUCGGGGGAGGAGGGAGCUGAGACCGUCAGGUGAACAGAAAAGUUAAGGACUGCUCCUGAGGUCACACAGCUGAUGGGGUGUGGCACAGCUGACAGACGCUGGGGUGGCCCCAACGUACCACCUUGCGUCGCCAUCCUGGGAGACUGCUUCACUCAUCCUAGCCCCUGGAGCAGCACCAAGAAAACCCAGAGACCCCUCCUGUCCCCGCUUCUCCCCUGAGGGCCCUCGGCUCUGCCCCUCCCCCACACCCAGACAAGCAGGACACGUGAGAAUCCUUGGCUGGCCGCCCUAACCCUUGCUCCCUCUCUGCCAGGCAACCAUGAUCAGUCUCCUGUUCUCAAGUUCCCUGCCUUCCCCACAGCUGCCAGCCCAUCCAACUCCCCUCUCCUGGUUCUUGGGUCAUGGCCAGCACCCUGGGGAUCUUUCUCACCUUAGUGUUUGUCUCCUCCCCAGUGCCCCUGAGAAACCGGCGUCCGUCCGAGGAGCAACACGACACCCUCGCCCUUCCUCCUGCACAUCUAUGCUUGGCGUGAUUUAGCGGCAGUGUUCUCUGUGGCAGCAUACACUAGGUGCCCAAUGCAUGCAUGCUGAUGAUGUCCACUUGUGCACAUUAGUCUAACUGACAUCACUAGGACCUCACGGGACCUGAAUCCCUUCCCUGUCCCCAGGACAGAGACUGCCAGAGGAGGAAACAGGGCUCCAAGCCAAGUGUGCUCCAAUGUGCCAAAGUCCAGGUUCAAAGCCUGGUGUUUCAGCCCCUCCCACUGCCCCACACCACCCCUCGUCGCCUACAUCCCCUGCGAGGCAGCUACCAGGCAGUCCCCGGGGGACCGGCAGCUUCAGCUUACGGGGUUCAGGAAGGUGUGGCAGCACCCCCCCACACACACUUUAUCCAGGUCCACCUUGGAAAUGCUCUCAGUUCCAGGUCCCGUGCCAAGAUGAGCGACGUGGCCUGUGCCCGUGAGAGCCACAACCCAGAAGAAGACAUACAGGUCAGUCUGAAGAGGAUUGGGACCGAGAGAAGGAGGCCUAGGAGACCACGGGAGCAAUGCUAGCUGGACACUGGGAAAGUUCCAGAAAUGGACCGGAUUUACUAGCUGGGAGCCCCCAGGGGCAGGAACCUCAGGAAUGCUCCCUUGGCCUGCAGCAUCCAGCCUGCCUGUAGAAAUUCAGCAGACUCUCGCCAGCUUGGAACUGCUCAAAAGGGUGUGCAUUCUGAAAACGCUCCUUUGCCGAACGUCUUGCAAUUUCUGGGUUGAUGUUGCUUGGUACCGAUGCGGGCGCUGCCUGUUCACUGUCAAAGACAGGCCAGAAGCCCCGAUGAGAAACGAAAAGAGAAAGCACAUGGAUGAGAGUCACUGACCCAACCAGGGCUGGAAGCAGGCACCAGCACACACGACAGACAAGUCUGCCUCACUGAGAGCCUGUGGCCAUGAAAUGACCCCUGGGCCUCCCUAGAAAGCGAUGGGGAAGCCACUGAACGGCAACUGAGGAGGGAAGAGGAAAUUAUUCCUUUUUAUGAUGCUCACUUUGUGUAUAAUGGAAAAGACAGAUGCAGGGGAGGGAAAUAGUUAAGAAACUGAUCAUUUAUUCAAUUUACAUAUGACAUCAAAAGCAUAAA